rnacentral:lncRNA from 1 species
CUAAAGAUUCAGAAUAAUCUACACAUCUACAGAGCUAUAAUCAUCAUCAGAAGACACUGGUGACCUUGCAGAGUCAGUACCAAAGAGAGUCUGGAACCAUGAGUGCCAC